rnacentral:lncRNA from 1 species
UUUUCAAUGACUGCUUAAUUUAACCCUAUUUUUCCUCCAAUUUCAAUAGGACACUUGCUUCAAGUAAACCAGAAUUUCUGUGCUUCAAGGCUAAAAUCACCUACAAACAAACAGGGCCACAGUCUUACUGUAUCUUUUUCAGACAAUUACUUCGACAGGAGGAACAGGGGCACAGAUGACAGAGAUGAGGUCAGCACAAACUGUCACAUCUGAGCAGCCCUGCCAUUUUUCUACAUUUUACAGCUUUGGAAGGUCUUCAUAUACCAAAAUUCCCAAGGAGAAUCAAAGAAGGAAGACUGCUUUCAUCAAGCAACUCCACCAGUGGCUCUCCAGCGGCUUUCCAUCAAACUGGGAUCUGAGCCAGAAUCAAGCUUCCAAGUCUGAUAUUAUAUUGCUGGUCCCACCAGGGAGUUCUUUUUUGAUUGGACAGAAAUAGAAACUUCCCUAGGUCCAUCUGAAUGUCAGAAACAGUGAAGUCACAUGCAAGGGCAUUCUGGAUGGAGAAAGAGAAUGUUCCUGCCCUUGUAGCAAGAGCUUCCCACUUAAUGAGAUACACAACCAGAGGGAAGGCACUGUUAUCCCUAUGCAGGCAAAGGUGAUUCCCAAGGUAGGCAGAGACAAACAGCAUCUGUUGACAAAAUUCCCUGAUGGUCCAGUGGUACACACAAGGACAAGAAAUCCCAACAAAAUAUCAAGUAAAAUAACCACAAUCUUCAUGUGGAAACUCUAGAUCUAAUAGCUUCUUAAGUUACUUAACUACCAUGCUCAGUCCGUGCUGAAGUGACACCACCAUUCAUUUAGGAAAGGGAUCCUUAGCUGUCAGAUGCUUUUAAUUCCAACAUGAAACUCAAAAGUGCCACCUUUCCUAAAAGGAAGCAAAUGGUGAGUGCUUAGCCAUUUGAGGGCUCAAUUAUCAUGUUUGCCCCCGCAAUUAGGAAAUGACUCCCACUAAUUGGGUAAUUGUGUAUCUAAGUGCCCAAUUUGUGUGGACAAAUUGAAGGCAUGAUAUAUGCAAAUCAACCUACAUGUAAAAUUUUUUGUCCAAUUGAACCUAACUAUUGCUGAAUGUCAAUCACAAAAACAG